AGUGAACGCUGGCGGUAGGCCUAACACAUGCAAGUCGAACGGCAGCACAGUAAGAGCUUGCUCUUACGGGUGGCGAGUGGCGGACGGGUGAGGAAUACAUCGGAAUCUACUUUUUCGUGGGGGAUAACGUAGGGAAACUUACGCUAAUACCGCAUACGACCUACGGGUGAAAGCAGGGGAUCUUCGGACCUUGCGCGAUUGAAUGAGCCGAUGUCGGAUUAGCUAGUUGGCGGGGUAAAGGCCCACCAAGGCGACGAUCCGUAGCUGGUCUGAGAGGAUGAUCAGGCAACCUGGAACUGAGACAAGGGUCCGACUCCUACCGGGGGCAGGAGUGGGGAAUAUUGGAAAAUUGGGGGAAGCCUGAUCCCGGCCUACCCGGUUGGUGAAGAAGGCCUUCCGGUUGGAAAGCCCUUUUGUUGGGAAAGAAAAGCCGCCGGUUAAUACCCCGCUGUUCUGACGGGACCCAAAGAAUAAGCCCCCGCUAAAUUCGUG
rnacentral:rRNA from 1 species